CACACACUCAGCUUUGUCUUAACACACACACUCAUUGGGUGGAGCGUGGCGGUUCCUGCCCUCAGGACAGGGUGUAUGUAUGUAUGUGUGUGUGUGUGUGUGUGUGUGUGUGUGUGUGUGUGUGUGUGUGUUGGGGGUUAACCCACCGCCUGACUGUGACAAAUCAGAGCGGUGCUGCCUCAUCAGUCACAUGUGGCAUCAUAUUAUCUCGGCCUUCGCCCUUCACCCCGUCUUUCUCCCCCCCUUCCCUCCAUCUAACGCGCAUCGUCACCAGACAUAUCUCUCUCUUCUUCUUCUUCUCCCUCCGUUUCUCUGUCUUCAUCUGGCGUUUGGGUGAUUUGUUUCAGUUCGUUUGGACACAAGUUUGAGCCGAAGUGAAGGUGAACAGCUCGUUUAAAUGCCCCUAUUUCUAAGCAUUUAAGUGUUUCAUUUAGAGGCGUUGAAAGAUGCUUAACUCGUACGUUUUAAAUCGUUCAGUGGUUUGGUUCUUGUUGUCUCGGUAGCUUAGUGUUUUGUCUUAAUUAGUCUUUAUCGUUGUGCUUUUGCAAACCUGCUUUGCAUUAUUUUGUGCAAUUGAACAGAACUUCGAGCAGCAUGUCUUGCAGUUUGGGUUUUAGAUGCAGAGAUUUGGCCAGUUUCAUUCAAUAAAAUAACAACAGGCCUUUUUUUUUUAAAGCCAGUUGUGGCGGAAAUGAAGCUAAAAACAUUUACAGCCACUUUAAGACCUCUCACACGUUAUUUAAAUUAAAUUUAUCAAGAUCGGAUCUAAAAUUAUUCUAUUUUUUGUUGCAGUGAGAUCUAAAUGGCUCUAUCUUACUGUUUUAUUGACAAGUUUUAAUCUCUUGUUAGUGUGAAUGCUACUUUUUUCAUAUUUCAUGUUUCUCUUUGUUGUUCUACUUUUUCCCUUUAACCUGGAAUGAUUUUUGUCUGUUUCGAUGAAGUGAAAAGUACUUUAAGCUAAAUGUUUUGCAUUGCAGCUGCUGCACGAACAAAGAUUUGAUUGAUGACGCCUGAUGUAAAUCGUGACACGGAUACAGAAAAGGCUUCAUGUAGCUGCUGUGUGUGUUCAGAGAUGUUGGGACAAUAAAGCUUCCUUUGAAUUUAAAACCUGGUGAUGACAGCUGUACAGUGUGUGUUUAUAGAGCCAGUGUGUGUCGGUAAGUGUGCGUUUCUGCCUGAUUUCCAUUUGUCACCAUUAAUUAAACCUGUCCGACAGGUAACGACACACACACACAGUUACCUGACAUAGAGCUGUACACCUGCUCUCUGUUGGACACACACACACACACACACACACACACACCUUGUUUCUGUCUCUGUAUGGGAUGUUUCUAGCAACAUCAUAUAUGAAUUUCAACAGGCUGUUAAUUUACAGAACAAGCAAAAAUAAAAAAAAACAUGUUCAGGUAGGAAUAUUAGUCCAGGUGCGUUCUGCUACGUUUAGCAUUAGCUACAGAAACACAGAGGUUUAAUGGAAACUAUUUGUUGUAAAAUGAGGAAAAAGUAAAUUAUAUUUGCUGAAACUGAAACUGAUUCUAGUUUCUACUCGAUUUUCUACUGUGAUCCAAAAGGGUGUGAGGGGAUAAAUGAAGUCACUACGGCGGCAGGGCUGAUGGGAAAUGUGGUCAAAACUGUGUGUGUGUGUACUUGCUACAUAGUGAGGACCGAAACACGUUUUUUACCUACAGAGUGAGGACAUUUUGGCCGGUCCUCACAACUUCACAGGGCUGUUUGAAGGUUAAGACUUGGUUUUUAAGGGUUAAAGUCAGGCUGAGGGGCGAGGGAAUGCACCGUGUCGAAGACUGUCCUCACAAAGAUAGAAGCACGGGGAGGUGUGUGCUCCAGAUGGGGUUCAUGGCGGGAUAAAAACACAGAUCAGUCCUGGUUCAGCUGAAGAGUCUCAACACGAAGCAAGGCACUGCUGCUGCCUGGGUUGAGGGUUCAACUCCCACUCCACUGCCAGAUGGUGAAAGUUUUACUUGAGUUUUUUGCCGUUUUGGAACCUUUUUGAUUGUUUUAAUUUUCGUUCUGUUGCUCUUUAUUUGUGUCAGUUGUCUUUUCGUAUGUGGAGUCAUUUCACUUAUUUUCUGAUCUUUAUAUUUGGCUUGUUUUGCCCUUUCUUGUUUUUUUGAUACUGUGUGAUUUCGAAUAGUUGUUUGUUUUAAAUGUUACUGUUUUUGUGUGGAGCUCAGGAAGACGAGCGAGCACUUUGUGGGAAUCCAAUAAAGAAUAAAGUCACAUUAGUCAGUUUUUGGUGCUCUGGCAAGGAGCAAUAACAAUUAAAGAUACAGAAGAUGAAUGACUGAUGAAGUCAACUUCAAGUCAGUUUGUUACCUUAACAGUCAAAUUAUUUAUACAGUAUACAGGACUUCGCCCUCUGUCCUCAGACGGUUGGAUAAGUAAAAGCUCUUUAACACACACAACAAAAAAGGUCGAAGCCUCAGGGAUCCACAGGACGGAAAGAGGAAUCGUUUUAGUCAAUGACCAAAGUAAAAAUUCCAAAUAUUUGCGUCUCCAGUUUGAGGACUUGCUGUUUACAUCACAGUAAACUGAACGUCUGCGGUUGUUGGACUGCUGGUCGGACAAAACGAGUCAUUUGAAGAGGUCGCCUUGGCUCCUCGUCACUAUUUUGGGACAUCGAUAAGCAGUUGUUCUUGUUUGGAAAGCCGAACACGAGGACCGAUGCUGAUAUUCAUCUGCUUACACGACAUGUGUUUGCUAACUGAAACACCGCAGAAGACUCGUGCCGAGGUUCAGCCGCUGGAAUCUCCGGCCCGACGUGAUGAAAGUGUGUCGACGCUCUGUCCAAUAAACAAGCCGCAUGAGAGUUUUGUUUCCGAGCGUCGGUGGGCUCGUGGGCACUGUAAAGCCAAACAAACUGAAUCCAAAGGAUGCAGCAGUCAGCUUUUUCCUCUUUGUUUUGGUGGCUUAAAGGUUAGAGAAGCGCUGGAUUUUAUUAUCGAUUAAUCUGUUCUCAGGCAGCUUUCGCACCGAACCUGUGUGACGUGGCUUACCUGGCACGUGGUGUGUUUGCCUGUUUUAAUUUGGUUCAUUUAGGCAGGUAUGAAAGCUGCCAAUAAUACUAAUACUAAGAUAAUGUCAGAUAAUAUCAGUUUCCUGAAGCCCAAUGCGACGUCUUCAGAUGUCUUGUUUACAAUCACAUAAGACAAAGAAAAGCAGCAAAUCUUCACAUUGAAGAAGCUGGAACCAGAGACGUUUUGGCGUUUAUGGUUUUAAAAAAAAACGACUUAAAUGAUUAAUUUAUUACCAAAAUAGUCGCGGAUUAAUUUUCUGUUGCUCAGUUAAUCUCAUACUUGUCAUUCAUCACAGGAAGCCGUUCAUUCUGAAUUCAACCUCUAAAGAUGUGAGACGUUGGGAAGCUGAGAAGAUUAAGAGUUUAAAUAUCGGCCUUUUGACGGACGGGAACGACAACCUGUUUGUUUUGAUUCCCUCAUAAAACAGAAGCGCACAGUUGUUUUCUACGCGCUUCAUUUACAAAAUGGAGGAACAGCUGAUCUCCGCGGUCAGCGGCUUCCCCGUUCUCUACAGUAGAACUAUGAUAAGAGGAACGAUGCAUGGAAACACAAAAGAAAGGGAAACAAACUAGGCGACGUGGCGAAGGAGGCGUUUGUACUUCCACGUUUGUCGUCAUGUUAUCAUCAGCAGACCAACACAGGUAGCCGAGGUGGAAGUGAGCAACAAGUAGACUGGGGUAUUUCUUUAUUUCCAACGUGUGACACAAAAUAACAUUGCUACAAACUGAGCCCAACCCGAGGGUUAAACCUUACAGCACCUCUUCUCCUGAUGAACUUCCCUCUCCUCUGACAAACGCUGUCUUCGACGCAGGCCUGGUUGUAAAUCUUCCAGGGUUUCAUGGCAUCGCUCGGGAUGAUGGUAUUAACGUUGUAAUGCCACCCUGACGUGUUUGGCUGUAACUGUAACCCAGCCUGAACACAGACCCGGAGAGAUACAGAUACUGGUUUUAGUGUUUGAUCCGUCACACAUUCAAAGGUGUUUACAUACUGUUUUAAUCAAAGACUAUUGGCGUCGUCUUGCUUCCUGACGUAGUAUUCAGUUGAGGUCUUUGUGACAUUGAGCCGGUGUAGCUGGGGAGGCAGAGUGGGUCGUCUGUUAGUUGUAGGGUUGGCGGUUUGAUCUCUGGCUGUCCUUGAGCAAGACACUCAAAAGCAAACACAACACGAAACAUCUUGAUGUUUGUAUUGAAACUGUCUAUUAAAACUUUGCAGCAAGCAGGAAGAGAGAGAAGGGGAAAUAAAAAUCUAAUUUGGACAUUGAAUUAGUGCACAGACAGUCUCUAAUGUGAGGCUUUACUGCUGUUCUCUGUUUAAAUGACAUGUAAACUUGACUGUUUUGGGGUUUUGGACUGUUGGUCGGACAAAACAAGACAGCUGAAGACGUCACUGCCGGCUUUAGAAGAGUUUGCUCUGUUUUCUGACCUUUCAGAGACCAAACAAUUGAUCGAGUAACAGUCCAAAUAACAAAACAAUCACAUCAUUUAGAAAAGAAAAGUACGUUGAUGUAAACUUCAGUCAACGGUU